GCAUCGGUGGUGUAUGGAACACGCACCAAUGAGAUGUAGAUCUUCAAAUCUCUAUAAUGGCGAGAUGGGGUUCGAUUCCCCGCCGGUGCA